UAGAGCCUCCCACAACGCAGGCGAUGGCUGCAUGAGGAAGUUGGCUAAGAGCAACUGCAGAAACUUUCAGUCGUCUGCAGUAAAAACUUCCCCACCUUUGUAUUUGAUUGCAAUAUUCAUGCAGUCUUUUUUAUGUAUUAUUAUUAAGAAAAAAAUAUUGUCACAUACACUGGAUAGGUGCAGUGAAAUGUGUUGUUUUACUAGGCUAAUAUAUGGAAUAGUUUUAAGAUGGUCAUACCUUGGAUCAUUAAGCUAUUAGAUUUAGAAUUUUAGGACCCCUUUAUGUAUAAAGAAAGUGAUAAAAUAUUGAAUUUGGCCUUUACUACUACAGCCCACAUGAACACAUUGAAUAACACAUUCAUGGAUGGCCAAAAAAUGACUGUCAAAAAAUAAAUCACAAGAAAAAGGUUUUGAAGUGUCUGUCCUGUGCCUAUGAGAUAUAAGAAAGCUCAGGAAAUAUUAAAGUUUUUUGGACACAUAUUUAACCCCAUAUUUACCCUCAUACUUAAUAAUAAUAGUCUGGGUAUCCAUUUGAUUAGAUGUUCAGGAGUCUUAUGGCUUGUUGGUAGAAGCUGUUUUACAAGCCUCUUGGAAUUAGACUUACGGUACCGCUGAGUGUGCGGUAGCAGAGAGAACCAUCUAUGACUAGGGUGGAUGGAGUUUUUGACCAUUUUUAUGGCCAUCCUCUGACAUCGCCUGGUAUAGAGGUCCUGGCAGGAAGCUUGGCCCCAGUGAUGUACUGGGGCAUACACACUACCCUUUGUAGUAACUUGCCAUCAUGUCAGUUUGUUGGUGAUGUGGACACCAAGGGACUUGAAACUCUCAACCUGCUCCACUACAGCCCUGUCGAUGAGAAUGGGGGUGUGCUCGGUCCUCCUUUUCCUGUAGUCCACAAUCAUCUCCUUUGUCUUAAAUCAUGUUGAGGGAGAGGUUGAGUCCCGUGACACUUGUGGGGGUUGUACCUCAAAACGGAGAAUACUAUCACGUUGGUAACAAAAAUUCGGGAGACAGGUGCAGGAAUGCGUAAUAAUUUUAUUAGGCCCCAAAUUACGGUGUGCCGUGUAAGGGCACGAAGACCAAACAAACACGUACACAAAACACAGAAUUGAAACCCAAACAAAAGAGGGAGGAGUACCUCAAAUAAAUACACACGCGCACAAUGAUUAACACACGGGACGAGACCCGCAAUCAUCUGCUCAAUCCACAAGGGCACGAAAGCCCUAAACACACAGCACAGGUACUCACACGCACCAACGGACAUUGUAACAAUUUUCGAGCCUCAAUGGAAACCAAAGGGCACAUAUAUACAAAUACUAAUCAGUGGGAAUAGGGGAAGGGUGUGCAUGAUGAAAGUUCCGGAGGGAUCCGUGACAAACACCAUUGUGUUUGUUGGAGUGUUAUCAUUUCAUAGUUAGCAGGCCAAACCGUUCAGACCCUACAGAUGGAGCGAUUUUUGGGAUGUCUCCUGGUCUGACAAACAGCUCUUUAGCUCUACCACUUUCCACCGCAGAUGCGGAAGGCCGAAAGACGGCUGUGGUGGAUUGAGACCCAGCCCAUGCAAAACCAGAUAUCUCUAGCUUAAAUGAACAGUUUUGAUGGGUAUUUUUGUAGUAUGUUAAUUAGAUUGAUACGCGGGUGCGUCAAUAGACUCUUAAGGAUUUUAAGUGCCGUGCUCAAGGGCACGUCAACAGAUUUUUUACCUUGUCGGCUCAGGUAUCGAACCAGCGACUUUUCGGUGACUGGCCCAAUGCUCUAACCUGCCACCCCAAUCAACAUGUUGUUGGUGCAAGUCGGACAAUUUUUAACCCCAUAAAGCUUAAAUCAUACUGAUGCUGAGACACGAUAUUACGGUGUCCCACUGUGACAUAGCUACUUGACUCUGAGACCACCAUCGGUCGAAGACGCACAGCCUGAAAGCACACCUCGCCACAAUUUCCAAUCCGGUAAGCUCCGAUUCAACAUCAAGAGUAUUCUGUCGGGCUGCAUCACCGCCUGGUACGGGAAUUGCACCGCCCGCCCGCAACCUACCCGCUCUCCAGGACAUCUACAGCACCGGUGUUACAGGAAGGCUAAGAAGAUCAUCAAGGACCUUUAGCCACCCGAGCCACGGCCUGUUCACCCCGCUACCAUCUAGAAGGCGGAGACAGGGUGUGUCAAAGCUGGGACCGAGACGCAGCUUCUAUCUCCAGUCCAUCAGACUGUUAAACAGUCAUCACUAGCCGGCUACAACCCAGUAAUCUACCCUGCACCUCAGAGACUGCUGCCCUAUGUACUGUAAAUAGAGUCAUCAAACACCAUUCACUCAACUAAUGUUUACAUACCGUUUUACCCACUUUAUAUGUACAUACUGUAUUCUAGUCAAAACUCAUCCUUUAUAAAUACUGCUAUACAUAUCUUUUCUAUUAAUAUACUGUCCAUACUGUCAAUACACACCAUAUUCUCAGAGUACUCUGUUCUCUUGGCCCUCCCACCCCUACGGGAAUGUGCAGCCCAGUCCAAGAUCUUCUCUAUCCUGGCACCCCAAUAGUGGAACCAGCUUCCCCCUGAAGCUAGAACAGCCUAUCCUAUCUUCCAAAAACAUCUUAAAACCAACCUCUUUGAAGAGGAUCUUAAAUAAUUCUACACCACACCCUCUACCCCUCUGACCCUCACCCUGAAAAAUUUAAUUCAGAAUGCCUUUUGUAAACUAACACUCAGACAUGACUUUUUUUUACACUUUACUAGUCAGAACUAGAAAAUGUACUUACUGUGAUGUGGUUUUCCCACCUAGCUUUUAAAAUACAAACCGUAAGUAGCAUUUUAUUUUUUUAAAUGUUGCAUUAUGUGUGUAUUGUUAGUUAUUACUGCACCGUUGGAGCUAGAAACAUAAGCAUUUUGAUGCACCUAUGUUAACAUCUUCAAAUAUGUGUAUGCAACCAAUAAACUUUGAUUUGAUUUAAUGCAACACA